CCCACAAAGCCCCCUAAGGCCCCCGGCCGGUCCCAGAGUGUGUCGGGCGGCCGGACGCCCGGCCGUCCACAGGUUGCGCCCCCAGCUCCUCCUCCCGGCUCCGCCCCGCCCAGCCCGGGUGGCGGGAAGCAGGGAGGAGAAAUGGCGGGCAGCCUUCCCCAGACUCAUCUGAACAGGAACCUGCUCCUGCAGAGCAGCCUGCAGGACUGGCCCACACCACGGGCAAGGCCCUGGACUAACACCCCGUCCUGGGCGCUGCACCGGUUGGCUCUCUGCUGUGUGGCUUCUAAGCCACUCCCCAGCCCAGCCUGGACCACAGCCUCCCAGGCUGCCUGUCAGAGUUGUCCUGGCCCUGGGGGACAGGUCAGGCUAGUUCCUGGCCCCUCCUACCUGGAAACUGUUCCAUCCAGCACCGUCCAAACUUGGG